rnacentral:rRNA from 1 species
AACUGGGGGGGGGAGGUGGGGAUGACGUCAAAUCAUCAUGCCCCUUAUGACCUGGGCUACACACGUGCUACAAUGGACGGUACAAAGAGCUGCAAGACCGCGAGGUGGAGCUAAUCUCAUAAAACCGUUCUCAGUUCGGAUUGUAGGCUGCAACUCGCCUACAUGAAGCUGGAAUCGCUAGUAAUCGCGGAUCAGCAUGCCGCGGUGAAUACGUUCCCGGGCCUUGUACACACCGCCCGUCACACCACGAGAGUUUGUAACACCCGAAGUCGGUGGGGUAACCUUUUUGGAGCCAGCCGCCUAAGGUGGGACAGAUGAUUGGGGGAAGUCGUAACCAAAGUGC